UCCCUGCAGGGAAGGGACCGGGCGCAGGUCCCGGGGUUCGCCGGGAAGGGUGGAGGCCUUAGACUCGGGGCUAACGUGCAUCCCAGCUCUGCGCCUUACGUCCUCCUUCUGUGCAAUGGGAACAGUGGUUCCUCCCCUACUGCAUUGUGGCGUUAGUUUAAACGGGCUUUCGAAGAUAUUUAUCGAGAGCCUACUAGAUGCGCCGCCCUAGCACUGGAGGCGGGAAUGGACUGAAAGGGGAAAAAGAAACGUCACCCACAGUUUGUCUUCUUGGGCACCUGCGCGGGACACCCCGGGACUAAGUCAAGUGGUCUUUCUGCAUCCACACUUCUCACUCAAGAGUGGCAGGUGGCACGGUGACAGGAGGUAGACCUUAAGAGUCAGGCAGAACCUGCAUUCAGUUCUGGUAAGUUCCUUAAAUUCUGGGGACCCUAGACAUUUUGUGAACAAAAAGUUUCCUUUGUAAUUGGUAUUUUGGGGGUCCCCAGGACCACCCUCAGGUUUUUGAUUUGCUAGAAAGACUUAUGUAACUCAGAAAAGCUCGUGGUUACAGUUCAUUACAGCAAAAGAAUAAAGUUUAAGAUCAGCAAAGGAAAAAGUGCAUCAGGCAGAGUCCAGGAGAGACCAGGUGUGUGGUUACAUUGUCCCUACCCAGGGGAGCCUUACAGACAGAGCUGACUUCUAGAGAUGACGUGUGACAAUACACACAAAUGUUGCUAACCACCUGAGCCUCAGUGUCCAGGGUUUUAACUGAGGGUCAGUUGUGUGGGCAUGGAGUGCCAGCAUGACUGACCACGGGUGUUCAGUGUCCACAACUACUCCCCAGCCCCAGUCAAGCCAGACUGAAACAGCAUGGCCAAGGUCCCAAGCAAAUAAAAACAGGCAUUCACCCUAAGUCACAUUGUUAGCAUAAGCUAUUUGGUGUGAUCCAAUGCCCCAAGUAUAGAAAGAUACUCUUAUCAGGCAGAAUAUUCCAAGGGUUUAUAGGUUAUCUCCCAGAGCCAACCAAGGACCAGUCCUUUCUGUGGCUUGUGCAGGGUUCGAGCACCCCAAGCCUGCUGAGUUAAUCCUUUACUGCGUGGUUAGUUUAAAAAAUUACCACGUGUAUCAGCCAGACUCCAGCCAGGAAAAUCGAAAGCAUUCUAGCUAUUUAAAAUAGACAGGAUUUAAUAGAAGGAGUUGGUUACACAGGUGAUGGAAGAGCUGAGAAGAUAAGCAGGAGGCACUGAGGGAACCCAGAAAUUAGCAGCAGCAGCCGGAAGCCUCUCCUGCCCUUAGGACUGGACGUGGUUUUCCCAGAGCCCAGAGGCUGGGGUCAUCUGUGGGAACUGAUGGGUGGGGACAUCUGGGGGCCACUGGGGCCACAGAAGGAGGGGCUGUACGGAGGAAGCGUCAGCUCCCAUCCCACCCUCAAGCAGAGGGGGACAGGCAGAUCGACUCUGGGUUCUCCCUCCCUCCUACCUGUCAGUCUCCUAAUAACAUCUCCCAUUGGCUGACCCAACCAUGAGCCAACUGAUAAGGGAGCUUGGGAAAUGUAGUUUCCACAAGGACAGGAGCACUCCAGGAAAUGAUUCAGACACCACUUACUUAGGGCCUGUUCUGUUGUGCCUGACAUUGCCAGACACCAUUGCCUACACCACCCCACGUAGCCUACCUGAAAGCUGCCCUGCCAGCAGAUGUCACCAGUCCAUUAUAUGGAUGAGGACAUUUAAGGACUUGGAUGAAGAAAAAUAGUCUGUAGGGAGUGGAGAGGGAGUGUUUGGGGUGGAGGAAAAGAGGAAGGAAUGUAGGCUUCAUCCCGUCAUAAAUGCAUACAAAGUUUCUCCAAAAGCCUUCCAGGGCAGGAAUUAUCCCCUGUAGCCAGAGCUGGCAGAGGUGGUUAGAGUGAGGUAUUAGUUCUGCACAUUCUUUAUUAAUUUAACACAGUGAAGAAUUUCCUCCUGCCUGGAGCCUCAUUUCCUUCCUCAGUCAAAUUGCCCCACCUAUAUCUCCCCUGGGAAGACCUGGGCUCAUUCACAGCAGAAAUUGCGCUGAAUCCUUUCUUUCUUUUUCUCUCUCAUGUGUGCAAAGAUGACUUGUGUCUACAGUUUGUUUCUUCUCUCAAGGACUUACUCACUUCAGUGUUUCAUGUCACUUUCAUGCUGUCCAUCAGUGAAGUCUGCUUGGGCUUGCUAAUAUGCAGACAGUUAACUACACAUGCUCAGAAUCUACAAACUGAGGAGCUCCUUUUUUAAAAAAGAUUGAUUGAUUGAUUGAUUGAUUUUCAAGAGAGAGUGCAAGUGAGGGUAGGGAUAGAGAUAAUCUCCUUGAGAUAAAUUGUGUCAUCACUUUGAAUUUACUUAAUUCCAUCCAAGAGGGGAAAAAAGAGGACAAAGAGGAGUGCCUGGG